rnacentral:rRNA from 1 species
UACGGGGGGGGGCAAGCGUUGUUCGGAAUUACUGGGCGUAAAGGGCUCGUAGGCGGCUUUUUAAGUCAGGGGUGAAAUCCUGGAGCUCAACUCCAGAACUGCCUUUGAUACUGAGAAGCUUGAGUCCGGGAGAGGUGAGUGGAACUGCGAGUGUAGAGGUGAAAUUCGUAGAUAUUCGCAAGAACACCAGUGGCGAAGGCGGCUCACUGGCCCGGUACUGACGCUGAGGUGCGAAAGCGAUGGGAGCAACAGGGAUUAAGAAACCCGGU